rnacentral:rRNA from 1 species
UACGUAGGGUGCGAGCGUUGUCCGGAAUUAUUGGGCGUAAAGAGCUCGUAGGCGGUGUGUCACGUCGGCCGUGAAAACCUGCAGCUUAACUGUGGGCGUGCGGUCGAUACGGGCAUCACUGGAGUUCGGCAGGGGAGACUGGAAUUCCUGGUGUAGCGGUGAAAUGCGCAGAUAUCAGGAGGAACACCGGUGGCGAAGGCGGGUCUCUGGGCCGGUACUGACGCUGAGGAGCGAAAGCGUGGGGAGCAAACAGG